GAGGCUACCGCAGCGCCCGGGCUCCGAGGGGGAGGGCGGGCGGGAGCUCGGCGAGGGGAGGGGAGGGGGCUGGGGGAGGGGAGGAGAGAGGGACAGGGCGGGGGGGGCAGGCGGGCCGGCUGGGAGGAGUUCGAGGCUACCACCGUGCUCGUCGUCGCUGCUGCAGCCGCUCUCGGGCUCCGAGAAGUGCAGCCCGCCGUUCGUGGACGAGGCGCCGCCGCCGCCGCCGCCGCCCGCCGGGCUCUUGGCGCUGCCGUUGGCCGAUCGGUUCUUCCCCAGUAACUCGGGCCCUUUCUCCAUCAUGCCGGGCAUGGUAGAAGAGGGGAGGGGGAAAGGGGAGUGGGCGUUGUCCGUGGUGAAAUAAAAACUGGGACGGGAUCUUCGCCCAGUUGGCGCUUUUUCGGCGCGCUGACCUGUGGUCGAGGCUUGGAGCCGAGCUCUGGAGAGGGCGGAGGCCCCGAGCGGAGGUGAGCCCAGAGCUGCAGUCUAGCGGGGUUUCCAGCCUGGCAGGCGAUUUGCUCUGUAAUGCUUUCCUGAAUUGCGUUAGGCACGAGGAAUAGGAACUGCAUUUUUCGUUCACCAGAUUUGAGGAUGUCUGCUGUGUGCCAGGCUGCCUGGCCUUGGGGGGCUACUUAAGAUUUUCUUCAUUUUAAAAAAUUGGGGGGUUUUUUGGCUCAGCAGUAAAUAGAAAUGAGGAUUUCUUGUGAACAUUUAGUACGGAGAUGUAUGCAGAUCGGUGUUUGGGGUCCACAGUAAGGUAUUAUGUCAAACACUUAAAAUUGUCCUGGAAGAUUUCUAUUAUAGAUCAGUGCAGAAUGGAUCAAAACGGAAAGAAGCCUCUCUGGCCAGAAGAAGUCUUCAUUGGAAGAAAUAACAUCCCUAAAGAAGGAACGUGUAAAUCAGGAAUUGAGCCAAGAAAAAGCCUGGGAGAUGAACUUCUUCUCUGUCUCCAUAAUUCUUAA
rnacentral:lncRNA from 1 species